rnacentral:rRNA from 1 species
GACGAACGCUGGCGGCGUGCUUAACACAUGCAAGUCGAACGGAAAGGCCCUGCUUUUGUGGGGUGCUCGAGUGGCGAACGGGUGAGUAACACGUGAGUAACCUGCCCUUGACUUUGGGAUAACUUCAGGAAACUGGGGCUAAUACCGGAUAGGAGCUCCUGCUGCAUGGUGGGGGUUGGAAAGUUUCGGCGGUUGGGGAUGGACUCGCGGCUUAUCAGCUUGUUGGUGGGGUAGUGGCUUACCAAGACUUUGACGGGUAGCCGGCCUGAGAGGGUGACCGGCCACAUUGGGACUGAGAUACGGCCCAGAAUCCUACGGGAGGCAGCAGUGGGGAAUAUUGCACAAUGGGCGGAAGCCUGAUGCAGCAACGCCGCGUGCGGGAUGACGGCCUUCGGGUUGUAAACCGCUUUCGCCUGUGACGAAGCGUGAGUGACGGUAAUGGGUAAAGAAGCACCGGCUAACUACGUG